rnacentral:rRNA from 1 species
AGGACGAACGCUGGCGGCGUGCUUAACACAUGCAAGUCGAACGGAAAGGCCCUUUCGGGGUGCUCGAGUGGCGAACGGGUGAGUAACACGUGGGUGAUCUGCCCUGCACUUUGGGAUAAGCCUGGGAAACUGGGUCUAAUACCGGAUAGGACUACGAAUCGCAUGGUUUGUGGUGGAAAGCUUUUGCGGUGUGGGAUGGGCCCGCGGCCUAUCAGCUUGUUGGUGGGUGAUGGCCUACCAAGGCGACGACGGGUAGCCGGCCUGAGAGGGUGUCCGGCCACACUGGGACUGAGAUACGGCCCAGACUCCUACGGGAGGCAGCAGUGGGGAAUAUUGCACAAUGGGCGCAAGCCUGAUGCAGCGACGCCGCGUGAGGGAUGACGGCCUUCGGGUUGUAAACCUCUUUCAGUACCGACGAAGCGCAAGUGACGGUAGGUACAGAAGAAGCACCGGCCAACUACGUGCCAGCAGCCGC